AUUGAACGCUGGCGGCAUGCCUUACACAUGCAAGUCGAACGGUAACGGGCCUUCGGGUGCCGACGAGUGGCGAACGGGUGAGUAAUACAUCGUAACGUUCCCGAUCGUUGGGGAUAACGAGGCGAAAGCUUUGCUAAUACCGCCUACGAUCUACGUAUGAAAGCUGGGGACCGCAAGGCCUUGCGCGGACGGAUCGUCCGAUGGCAGAUUAGGUAGUUGGUGGGAUAUAAGUUUACCAAGCCGACGAUCUGUAGCUGGUCUGAGAGGAUGAUCAGCCACACGGGGACUGAGAAACGGCCCAGACUCCUACGGGAGGCAGCAGUGGGGAAUGUUGGACAAUGGGCGCAAGCCUGAUCCAGCCAUGCCGCGUGCAGGAUGAAGGCCUUCGGGUUGUAAACUGCUUUUGUACGGAACGAAAAGCCUUCUUUUAAUACAGGAGGGUCAUGACGGUACCGUAAGAAUAAGCACCGGCUAACUACGUG
rnacentral:rRNA from 1 species